rnacentral:rRNA from 1 species
UGAGCAAUCUGCCCUUCUCUUUGGAAUAAGCGUUGGAAACGACGUCUAAUGCCGAAUACGACCUCCUUUCGCAUGAUCGGAGGUGGAAAGCUCCGGCGGAGAAGGAUGAGCUCGCGGCCUAUCAGCUAGUUGGUGUGGGUAAUGGCCCACCAAGGCGACGACGGGUAGCCGACCUGAGAGGGUGACCGGCCACACUGGGACUGAGACACGGCCCAGACUCCGUAGGGAA